rnacentral:rRNA from 1 species
AUACGAACUGCGCGAACGUUAUUCGGAAUCACUGGGCUUAAAGGGUGCGUAGGCGGCGUGUUUAGUAGGAUGUGAAAUCUGUCGGCUCAACCGGCAGGCUGCAUUCUAAACUGGCAUGCUUGAGAGAGUCAGGGGUGUGUGGAGCUUCCAGUGGAGCGGUGAAAUGUGUUGAUAUUGGAAGGAACGCCGGUGGCGAAAGCGGCACACUGGGGCUUUUCUGACGCUGAGGCACGAAAGCCAGGGAGCGAACAGGAUUAGAAACCCCUGUAGUCC